GCAGCAUAGUUCUUCAUAGGACAUCAUAGGAACUUCUUCCAAAAGAUAAGCCAAAAAAAGCGAGCAGGUUGAGACAGCAGUGAAUGAGGUGGAGAGGGCAGAACAGCCAAAGAGUUAAAGUGCAGCAGCAGCAGAGUUAGCGGUAGCUUACUAGCUAACGUUACUCUACGUCAGCAUAAGGUUGGCUAAUGCUAAUAAACUAGCUUAAGCUAUUGGGUGUCAGUCAGAGUUAAUUAACAGUAUAUUUAGUGAGUGGGCAAGCUAAGGAUGUUGAUAUAAGUAAAGAUAUUAGGAAAAGUGUUUAUUUCUAGAGAGUGUAUUUGAUGGGUUUCGUUUUUGUAGCUUGUUACUGGCAGGCUGAGAACGUUUUUCUGACUGUGACACAGUGUCCUCCUGUGGACUGAAGCUGAACUUUACUACAAUUUCAUAUUUUGCAGUUUAAAGUAGCAAUGUUGAGGUGGUAGAACUGACGAAAUUAAAUGAAUCAUAGAGGUCUUAUAACCUAACGUUAUUCCAUUCUACAGAUGAGCCAAGGAGGAUAACAGAUGAGAACAACAGGCCAGUGGAGCACUUAGAACAGCAGCAGCCAGGGGAAACUGGUAGGGAAGAGGAUGCUUUAGGUGACCCAGACAUAGGCCCAAAACAAGGUAAGCUACCCCAGUAUCCCCUUGACCGUUUUGGAUUGAAAACCUAAAGAGAUGCACCAGACAAGACACAUAUAGGCAGCAACAGAAGAGUAAAUGAUGGAGAGACACAAGACAAGACACAGAGAUAGCAAACUAAGAAUAGGAUAUGAUGGAGCGAGACACCAGAAGAACGGAACAGGCCAUAACAGAAGAAGGAAGACAAAGAAGACAUUAACAAACAAGAACCUGAGACAGCAAUGGACAAGACACAGAUAAAGUGACAAGACGGCAGAUGAAGAGAGAACAGAGGACCUGAGCCCUAGGACCAUGCCUCAGGACUACCUGGCAUGAUGACUUCUUGCUUUCCCC